GACAUUCUAGCAGCUUGGCCCCUUUGGC
rnacentral:sRNA from 1 species